UCCCAAUGAGCACCAAUGUAAGGAGCAUUCUUCCCAAUGGCCACCAAUGUAAGGAACAUUCUUCCAAAUGACCACCAAAAUAAGGAACAUUCUUCACAAUGACCGCAAAUGUAAGGAGCAUUCUGCCCACUGACCACCAAUGCAAGUAACAUUCUUCCCGCUGA